rnacentral:tRNA from 3 species
GGGCCUAUAGAUCAGCUCGGUAGAUCGCCUGCUUUGCAAGCAGGAGGCCACGGGUUCAAAUCCCGUUGGGUCCA